AGGCAGUCCCGUCAGCUUCCGGUAGAAGAGCUCUGCCACAUCACGACCACCACUGUCCCCGCGGACUAGCCAGGUGGAAAGAUAGUUAAGGAACAGGCGACACAGACUGAUCUGGAUUCGAUUUCUACCCAGCUACCCUACCCCGUCUCCCGGGUCAAAGGAUACAGUCUUUAUAGAUGAGCGGAUCCCCCUUGGAAGACAGAAUGAAGAACUGGGAAAUCAUGGCGGUUCUGGAGGAUAGACGAGAACACGGUGAAAGUUGAACCCACCCCGCCUUGUGGACGCGGAACAAAAGGCCGCACGGAGGCUGGCGCUUUAAGAAACACUCCUCCCACACACACACUCGCGAGCAUUAAUUUCGAACCGCGGGAAACAGGGUGUCCAACCCGCCAGGAUCUGGCAAUCUUUCAACGGCCCGCCCUCAAGCCCCUUGUCAUUCAAUCUAGACUCGUCCAUUGAUUGGUUAAAGUUAGGGGCUGGCAGCAGUUGGGAACCCCCUAUCUGAUUGGCGGGUUCUCAGCCGCACGGGUCACAUGGGUGACGACGUUUCGCGCCAAUUUCGGUUGGCCGGCUACGUCCCGCCGCGCGUUCGUUUUCUGCUUCCCCAGAGAGAGAUUUUUGAGCCCUUCAAGUCCUGCCACACCGUCCCCGGCAGCGAUGGCGCUUAAGGACUACGCGAUCGAAAAAGAAAAAGUUAAGAAGUUCCUCCAAGAGUUUUAUUACGAGAAUGAGCUUGGAAAGAAGCAGUUCAAGUAUGGGACCCAGUUGGUUCAUCUGGCUCAUCGGGAACAAGUGGCACUGUAUGUGGACCUGGAUGACAUAGCUGAAGAUGACCCUGAGUUGGUCGACUCAAUUUGCGAGAAUGCCAAGCGCUACUCAAGACUGUUUGGUGAUGUUGUGCAAGAGCUUUUGCCUGAGUACAAGGAGAAGGAGGUGGUGAAUAAGGAUGUCUUAGAUGUUUACAUUGAACACCGGCUGAUGAUGGAGCAGCGAAGCAGAGACCCUGGGGCAGUCCGGAACCCCCAAAACCAGUAUCCUUCUGAACUCAUGCGAAGAUUUGAGUUGUAUUUCCGAGGCCCAAGUAGCAGCAAGCCUCGAGUGAUCCGGGAAGUACGAGCUGACUCUGUGGGGAAAUUGUUAACUGUGCGUGGCAUUGUCACUCGUGUGUCUGAAGUCAAGCCCAGGAUGGUGGUGGCCACAUACACUUGUGAUCAGUGUGGGGCAGAGACCUACCAGCCAAUCCAGUCUCCCACUUUCAUGCCUCUGAUCAUGUGCCCCAGCCAGGAGUGCCAGACCAAUCGCUCAGGGGGGCGGCUGUACCUACAGACUCGUGGCUCCAAAUUUGUUAAAUUCCAGGAAAUGAAGAUUCAAGAGCAUAGUGACCAAGUUCCUGUGGGAAACAUCCCUCGUAGCAUCACAGUGGUUCUAGAAGGUGAGAACACAAGAAUUGCCCAGCCUGGUGACCAUGUCAGCGUCACUGGCAUCUUCUUGCCAGUCCUGCGCACAGGGUUCCAACAGAUGGCACAGGGCUUACUCUCAGAAACUUACCUGGAAGCCCACUGGAUUGUGAAGAUGACAAAGAGUGACGAUGAUGUCUCUGGGGCCGGAGAGCUGAGCUCAGAGGAGCUGAAGCAGAUUGCAGAGGAGGAUUUCUAUGAGAAGCUGGCCGCUUCUAUUGCUCCGGAGAUCUAUGGACAUGAAGAUGUGAAGAAGGCGCUGCUGCUGCUUCUGGUGGGUGGUGUGGACCAGUCUCCUCAAGGCAUGAAGAUCAGAGGAAACAUCCACAUCUGCCUUAUGGGAGACCCUGGUGUGGCCAAAUCUCAGCUCCUAUCUUACAUCGACCGUCUGGCACCGCGAAGUCAGUACACAACAGGCCGUGGCUCCUCUGGUGUAGGGCUCACAGCAGCUGUGUUGAGAGACUCUGUGAGUGGAGAACUGACUUUAGAGGGCGGUGCCCUGGUGCUGGCUGACCAGGGCGUGUGCUGCAUUGAUGAGUUUGACAAGAUGGCCGAGGCUGACCGCACAGCCAUCCAUGAGGUUAUGGAGCAGCAGACCAUCUCCAUCGCCAAGGCGGGGAUUCUCACCACGCUCAAUGCCCGAUGCUCCAUCCUGGCUGCGGCCAAUCCUGCCUACGGCCGAUAUAAUCCCCGCCGCAGUCUGGAGCAGAACGUCCAGCUUCCGGCUGCUCUGCUUUCUCGAUUCGACCUCCUCUGGCUGAUUCAAGACCGGCCCGACAGAGACAAUGACCUCCGGUGAAUGAAGUAGAUGACACCCAUAGAGACAGCCCAUUUUAGUGACUUUGGGGCAGGGAGGUUGGCCCAGCACAUCACCUAUGUCCACCAGCACAGCCGGCAGCCCCCUGCCCAAUUUGAACCUUUGGACAUGAAACUUAUGAGACGGUACAUAGCCAUGUGCCACGAGAGACAGCCCACAGUGCCUGAAUCUCUGGCUGACUACAUCACCGCAGCAUAUGUGGAGAUGAGGCGAGAGGCCCGGGCCAGUAAGGAUGCCACCUAUACUUCUGCCCGGACCCUGCUGGCCAUUCUCCGACUUUCCACUGCUCUGGCUCGACUUCGGAUGGUAGACAUUGUGGAGAAGGAAGAUGUAAAUGAAGCCAUAAGGUUGAUGGAGAUGUCGAAGGACUCCCUUCUAGGUGAAAAGGGACAGACAGCUAGGACCCAGAGGCCAGCAGAUGUGAUAUUUGCCACCAUCCGUGAAUUGGUGUCACGGGGGCGGAGUGUCCACUUUUCUGAGGCUGAACAGCGCUGCAUAUCUCGUGGCUUCACACCAGCCCAGUUCCAGGCAGCUCUGGAUGAAUAUGAGGAGCUAAAUGUCUGGCAGGUUAAUACUUCUCGGACACGGAUCACCUUUGUCUGAUAGCCAGUUUUUACACCCUCCUGCCUACACCAGAGGGCAUGCUGAAUGCCCCCUCAAGAAAAAAUCUCAUUCUCCCAUGCUGCACUUUUUUAUUCUGCCAAUAAAGUGUUUUGAUUGCCUCUU